rnacentral:rRNA from 1 species
UACGAGGGGGGCAAGCGUUGUUCGGAAUUAUUGGGCGUAAAGGGUGCGUAGGCGGUUUGACAAGUCUGAUGUGAAAUCUAUGGGCUCAACCCAUAGUCUGCAUUGGAAACUGUCGGGCUUGAGUAUGGGAGAGGAAAGCGGAAUUCCUGGUGUAGCGGUGAAAUGCGUAGAUAUCAGGAGGAACACCUGUGGUGUAGACGGCUUUCUGGACCGUAGCUGACGCUGAGACACGAAAGCGUGGGUAGCAAACAGG